GACGAACGCUGGCGGCGUGCCUAAUACAUGCAAGUCGAGCGAGUCUGCCUUGAAGAUCGGAGUGCUUGCACUCUGUGAAACAAGAUACAGGCUAGCGGCGGACGGGUGAGUAACACGUGGGUAACCUGCCCAAGAGAUCGGGAUAACACCUGGAAACAGAUGCUAAUACCGGAUAACAACAGAUGAUGCCUAUCAACUGUUUAAAAGAUGGUUCUGCUAUCACUCUUGGAUGGACCUGCGGUGCAUUAGCUAGUUGGUAGGGUAACGGCCUACCAAGGCGAUGAUGCAUAGCCGAGUUGAGAGACUGAUCGGCCACAUUGGGACUGAGACACGGCCCAAACUCCUACGGGAGGCAGCAGUAGGGAAUCUUCCACAAUGGACGCAAGUCUGAUGGAGCAACGCCGCGUGAGUGAAGAAGGGUUUCGGCUCGUAAAGCUCUGUUGUUGGUGAAGAAGGACAGGGGUAGUAACUGACCUUUGUUUGACGGUAAUCAAUUAGAAAGUCACGGCUAACUAAGU
rnacentral:rRNA from 1 species